GUUCUCGUAGCUCAAUUGGAUAGAGCGUUGGCCUCCGAAGCCAAAGGUUGUGGGUUCGAGUCCCGCCGGGAACG
rnacentral:tRNA from 1 species